UAUCUCUGUAGAGUCUGCAUAUCAAUAAGCGGAGGAAAAGAAACUAACAAGGAUUCCCCUAGUAACGGCGAGUGAAGCGGGAAGAGCUCAAAUUUGAAAUCUUAAAGGGUUUCCCUUUACGAAUUGUAGUUUAAAGAAGUGUUUUCUGUUGAGGUUUUGGUAAAAGUUCUUUGGAAUAGGACAUCAUAGAGGGUGAGAAUCCCGUAUUUGACCUUUACUUUCAACUUUGUGAUACACUUUCAAAGAGUCGGAUUGUUUGGGAAUGCAGUCCAAAAUGGGUGGUAAAUUUCAUCUAAAGCUAAAUAUUGGCGAGAGACCGAUAGCGAACAAGUACCGUAAGGGAAAGAUGAAAAGAACUUUGAAAAGAGAGUUAAACAGUACGUGAAAUUGUCAAAAGGGAAGCGUUUGACACCAGUGUUGUUUUUCUGAAAAUCAAUUAAAGAACUGUUUAUGCUAAGCUGUUUAGACUUUAUCAGCUAUCUGUUUAGUUUUGAGCUUUUCUUUAAUGCACUUUUCAGUUAACAAGUCAACAUCAAUUUCUUUUGCUGUAAAAAAGCUUGAGGAAGGUGGCUUGAGAUUCGUCUUAAGUGUUUAUAGCCUCUUGCCUAUGCAGUCGGAGAGAUUGAGGUCUGCAGCGUAGAUCCUUCGGGGCUAAAUGCAUUUGUGCUAAGUUAUAGCAUUUUAUAGACAACUUGUUGACUAUGAUUUGUCUUGUAGCUUACUCGCUUAUGUUAUUUUACCUACGCUUAGGAUGUUGACGAUCAGCUGAGCGCG
rnacentral:rRNA from 1 species